GCAUAGCAUGGCGGCGCGCUUUACACAUGCAAUUCGCAGCGCAGAACCAGAGCUUCUGCUCUGGUUCACAGCGGCGAGAGGGUGAGUAACACGUGUAGUAAUCUGCCCUCGACACUGGGAUAGCCCGGGGAAACCCGGAUUAAUACCGGAUAGCCUUUCGAGCUCUCGGGCUCGUCAGAAAAGAUGGCUUCGGCUUUCGGUUGAGGAGGAGCUUGCGGCGGAUUAGCUUGUUGGUGAGGUAACGGCCCACCAAGGCGACGAUCCGUAGCUGGUCUGAGAGGACGAUCAGCCACACUGGGACUGAGACACGGCCCAGACUCCUACGGGAGGCAGCAGUGGGGAAUCUUGCGCAAUGGGCGAAAGCCUGACGCAGCGACGCCGCGUGAGGGAAGAAAGCCCUAUGGGUUGUAAACUUCUUUUGUAUGGGAAUAAACCCCGGUACGUGUACCGGGUUGAAUGUACCAUAAAAAUAAGCACCCGGCUAACUCCGUGCCAGCAGCCGCGGGUAAUACUGAAGGGUGCAAGCGGUUAUCCGGAUUUU
rnacentral:rRNA from 1 species